GGUGGGGUGGGAGAAAAGAGCCUGAGCUUUAAGACCAGAGAGACCUGGGUUCAAAUCCCAGCUCCACCA
rnacentral:tRNA from 1 species